rnacentral:lncRNA from 1 species
UCAUACCUGGACCCUGAUUUAUUUCUUGGGAUUCCAGACAACAUGCUGUCCUAGUCUUUAACCUUUCAGUUUCUUCUCCCUUUUGCUGACUACUUGAAAUUUUAUUUCCUUUUCUGUGCACAGGAAAGCUGCUUUGAUGUCAUAACUUGCAUCCUUUCUACCUUGUGUCUUACAGUAAAAUUCUAUUCUCAGAAUUGAAAACCCUGUGUCAAUAGGAAAAAGAAAAAUUGUAGGAUUAAAAAAAAAUUGGUUUCCCUGAAAGUAAAGUCAAUUAUCUUAGUUGUAUUCAAGUAUAAUCUAAAACUUAGUUGGCUCCUUCUAAGUAAUUAGUAUNNNNNNNNNNNNNUAUUUCUAUUUUAAUUUUAAAUUAAUUUUUAUUGGCAUAUAGUUGAUUUACAAUCUGGUUAGUUCCAGGUGUACAGCAAAGUGAAUGUGUCAACUUUUUUAGGUCAUAGAGCAUAUGCAUUCUUGACGUGCAACUCAGAUCAACUUAUUUUUUUAAAAAAGAAACAGAUCCAUUUAACAAUGUGAUCUAAAAUUCAUUUCUGAAUCUUCAAGAAGGUCUUCUUAAAAUGAAUAAUACUUUCUAGGAAAUGUAUCCAUUAUUAUAAUUGCCUUUCUUAGGAUCACAAUUUCAAGGGUUAAGGGUUCUGUUGGUUUUUCCUCUGUGUAAGAGCUUGUGGCCAGAAGUUUCUGUCACAUAGGACUGAAGAAUAAAUCUUAGGUGAAAGUUUAACUUUUUUUUCUUUUAAUGCUCAGGACACUUCUAAUAGACCUAAUUUUUUCCAAAGCAGUUUCCUAGUAACAUAGGAUUUGGUAGUGAGAAAUUCCAAAUUUGUUUUACUUAUAGCUCCCAUAUGCUUUUUUCCCUUUGUUUGUUUGUUUGUUUUUUCUAAAUUAUUUAUUUUGGCGAUACUGGGUCUUAGUUUUGGCAUGUGAAGUCUUUGUUGGGGGAUUUGGGAUCUAGUUCCCUGACCAGGGAUUCUAACCCUGGGCCCCCUGCAUUGGGUGGGUGGAGUUUUAGUCAAU